GGUACAUGCCUGUAAUCCCAUAACAGGGAGCCUGAGACUGAUAGAUCUCUUCCCUUCAAGAGCCCUGAGCUACAGUGGGUUAUGCCAAUCAGCCAUCCACACUGAGUUCAACCUCAAUAUGGGAAACACAUGAGAGCAAAGGGCAGCCAGGUUGCCUAAGCAAAGGGCUAACUGACCCAGGUCAGAAAUGGAGUGGGUCAAAGCUCCCAUGAUUAUCAGUAGUGGGACUGACCCAUAAGUAGCCUCUGCAUUUCCAGCCUGGCAAGAUAAGGAGACCCAGUCUUAA
rnacentral:SRP_RNA from 1 species